UACAGAGGUGGCAAGCGUUGUUCGGAAUUACUGGGCGUAAAGGGCGCGUAGGCGGCCAUCUAAGUCAGACGUGAAAUCCCCCGGCUUAACCUGGGAACUGCGUCUGAUACUGGACGGCUUGAGUAUGGGAGAGGGAUGUAGAAUUCCAGGUGUAGCGGUGAAAUGCGUAGAUAUCUGGAGGAAUACCGGUGGCGAAGGCGGCAUCCUGGACCAUUACUGACGCUGAGGCGCGAAAGCGAGGGGAGCAAACGGG
rnacentral:rRNA from 1 species